GCAGAAGAAACUAAGAGCCCAACUUGGUCACAGUGAGUGAAGGAACAUGGCUCUGAAUCAUGCCUGUCUGUCUCCCCAGGUCUGUGCUUAAAACCACGAAGUUCAAGAUGGAAACUGAAGGGAAGAGUGUCAAGGGGAUGGGAGAGAGGACUUGUCCAUGACUUUGGCAGCAUAAGGAAAAAAUACCCAGGGACAAGUGGCGACUUUGGAAACUCCAUUCCUCUGCAAAAUGACAUCACGAGGAGAGUGGUGGGGCCUGCGGAUGAAAAGAUCUGGCUUCUCCUCCCAACUCUGCUAUGAGGAAGCGCUGGAUGGCCCUGUCGGCCGCGGUCAUCGCCGCCUCGGCCCGGGAGCUCAGCAUUGCAGCCGCACCGGAGGCCUGAAACCGUCUCCUCCGCUACCGCCGCCGCCGCCGCCGGACCGAGGGAUACGACGGUUCCCGAGACAGCGGAACCUGCGGCCGCAGUCCCAGCACCUCGGGGGAACGUAGACCGCAGGACAGCUCCCAGGGGGACCGGAAGUAGCUGCCCCCGGAGAGCAAUAGCUGACGGACCACGUCCUUUCUUUCUUUUCCCUUAGCAACAGGCCCCGGCGUCGGUUGCUACGCUGGGCUCAGUUGCCUGGGGCUGCUUGGUUUUCAGAUUUGCUUAGGCUCCAUUCAUAAAUACAGAUGGCACACUUCUAGGAUGGACCCUG
rnacentral:lncRNA from 1 species